CACCAGUGGCCAUCAUCCUUAAAUGCAUUCUCAUUUGACCCUAUGAUCAGACUCACUCUCACAAUGUCAUUUGAGAAGAUAAGACUGCUAAAAAUCAAAGUUAAGCAAAGGUUGUGUUGUGUGUAGCUAGCUAGCUAGAGAUACUUUCACAAUUUUCCCUAAGAUUUUACUUAUUUAUUUGACAGAGAGUGUGUUUGGGCAAGCACAGAAGCAAGCAGAGGAAGAGGGAGAAGCAGGCUCCCCAAUGAGCAAGGAGCCUAAUGCAGCGUUCAAUUCAAGAAUCCCAGGAUAAUGACCAGAGCUGAAGGCAGAUGCUCCACUGACUGAACCUCCCCAGGUUCAGUUAAUAGCACCUUUCACUGUUUUCAGUAAACGGAUAAAGAAGUUUAGGUCCUUGCCCUAAGGUCACAUCCAGCUCAGUGAUGGAGUCACCAACCCAGGACCAACUUUGAAUCCCCCCGCCUCUGCUCCCUCUUCUUGCAUAGAAAUAAGUAGUAGCACACAUUUAUGGAAUUAUGGAAACCAUGUUGAUUGUGUCAGUCAUGAGAGAGCACAGCUUAGAUCUCCCUUUAAGAGGGAAUAUGCUGCGAGUGUGUGAUGGGCUGAGGGCCUCAGCCAUGGCACCUUUGGAAUCCCUGUAGGGUUCCCACUGACCCCUUGCUCUCCCCGAGGACAGCAGGAGAACAAAAGCCCAGCCAGGUCUGCCCAGUGAUGACUCCUCAACUCUUGGGUUUCCCAGCAGCCUGGCCAUAGCUGUGCUCAGAGCUGUGCUCUCCUCUGCAGUUCUUACCCAACCCUCUUUCCUGUCCCGUCUCCUAUGGCAAGUGGCAGGCCUGAAGGGUCUCUUCACCUUCCCCUGUUCCUUCACCCUUCUUACCUCACAGAUGUUCUCACCAGUACAUUUUUUUUGCAUACAUAAUUCCAUCUUGACAUCUGUUACUCAAAGGACCUGAAGUGACACACUUGUUGAUACCUGCCUUGACUCACUACAUGGACUAUGCCACAGAGAGAAUGUCGGGAGGAAAGCGCCACUCAAGACACAUCAUUAGUCCUGCAGCGCCCCCUGCUGAUAAGAAUUAUGAAAAUUAUGCAAUCCUAAUAGCCUCCAACUCCCAUCCCAAGAACCUAGUAUGCUGCAAAGGGAGAAGCCUGGCUCCCACUCUGGCUCAGCCACUUGGAGUCAUCGUCCUUGAGAAAGUUUCUCAGCCUCCUGAGGCUUGUGUUCUGGAGCCUAAAUAGAAAUUGUCAUCAGUGCUAUUGAAGGGACGAAAUUAGAGUGUGUGUGGAAAAGACUUUAUAAAUCAGAAUGUUACAGAAAUGGUUAUUUUUCUGCCUGAGAGAGGUAUUUACAAUGUGUUUUUCCUCCUUAUAAAAGGAAUAUGAAUUCUUUGUGGACAUUUUGAAAAUUACAUUUGAGUAAAAAAAAAAAAAAGGAAUCAGAAUCACUCAGAGUUAACUACUAUGCACAUUCAGUAUUUGCUCCCAUCUUUCUCCCCAUCUGUAUAGAGAUAUGCCUUUGUUGAAGCAAGGAUGUGGAUACUUAAGACCCCGGGGGUGGUACUCCUCCCCUCACUAGCCUGCAGAGCUACUACAGCAUUUCCCUCCACCCUUGCUGCAGCAAAGGGCACAGACUUCAUCUCUCACUAGAAGCAAGGCUGAGGGGCCUUCUGGGUCCCCAAGUAAGCAGACCUUAGAAAUGGAACCUGUUCUUUCUGAUAGAGACCUUCAAACUUUGUACUCUGCAAACCAUUUUGGAAAGAUCAUAUCCUUUUAUGGAUCACUUGCCUGCGUAUCCUCAUUUACAAAUAGAUUUUUGAGAUUUAAAAGGCAUAGACUCCUGUAGCUGUGUUGUUAAAAUGCUCCUACUCUCAGGGGCGCCUGGGUGGCUUAGUCAGUUAAGCAUCUGCCUUCAGCUCAGGUCAUGAUUUCAGGGUCCUGGGAUAGAGCCCUGUGUUGGGAUGCCUGCUUGGCAAGGAGUUUGCUUCUCCAUCUCCCUCUACCACUCUCCCCAAUUCAUGCCUGCGCUCUCUCUCUCUCUCUCAAAUAAA
ensembl:lncRNA